rnacentral:rRNA from 1 species
UACGUAGGGGCUGAGCGUUGUCCGGAUUAUUGGGCGUAAAGAGCGUGUAGGCGGCCAGGUAGGUCUGCUGUGAAAACUCGAGGCUCAACCUCGAGAUGUCGGCGGAAACCAUCUGGCUAGAGUCCGGAAGAGGAGAGUGGAAUUCCUGGUGUAGCGGUGAAAUGCGCAGAUAUCAGGAAGAACACCCGUGGCUAAGGCGGCUCUCUAGUACGGUACUGACGCUGAGACGCGAAAGCGUGGGGAGCGAACAGG